UCACCUUAGCAACGUCUCCUGAAGAGGGAAACUGAGACAAUGGCUGUUCACUUGACAGGCGAAAUCUGUAAAGAUAUCGAUCCAGCAGAAUAGUACAUUAUUAACUUGCACUGAUGGCCUUUGUGACUGACAAGAUGGUUGUAAUAAGCAAAUACUUAUCAGCGAUCAGCAGGAUGAAGGAAAGAGACAUCAGGACCAACAAAUGAAGGGAACUGCGCCACAAUCAGGAAACAGAAUUUCAAUUCUUACUUCCAUAAGGUCCAUUAUGUGAAUGCCACAUAUUAUGUUCAUCAUUUUGUACUACACACUCACUAGCUUGGGCUCAGUUUCUGCCUUUGCAUUAAGUGUGGCAUUGUCGUGUAUCCAUGUCAGGGUCAUUCUAUCAACCGCUGG
rnacentral:lncRNA from 1 species